CCUCUGCUACAACAAACCCUCCAUCAACUGUGUCUCCAACUUCAACUCCUUCAACUCCCACUACCAGUACUAGUUCUUCUACAACUGAGUCUCAAACUGCAGAACCUACAACAUCUCCUGCCAGUACAAGCUCUUCUACAACUGAGACUCAAACAGCAGAACCUACAA